AGGGCAGUGGCUCAGUAGUAGAGCUCCCGGCCUCUUAUGCAGGAAGACCUGGGUUCGAUUUCAGGCUGCCUUC
rnacentral:tRNA from 1 species